AGAAAACAAAAUUAUUUGGCUAGCACUUGCUAUGUGUACAGAUUCUCCUACAAUGCUGAAAUUUGUAGGUAUUCAUAUCCAUAUAUGAUCUCAAGAGCUCUGUUUGCUGAUGCUGCUAGAGUAGCUAAUGGAGAAGUAAGCAAAGCAGGACCUCUGGUUGAGUAUGAGCGUAGAAUUGAAGCGGGUGAUCUUGUGGAUGGGGAUAAUUGUCAGUGUUAUGAAGGUUGCAUCGAGUCAUGUAUAGGCUACACUCCCCAAAGGCUUGUGCAUCACAGUUUGAGGCAUGCACUUCACAUA